rnacentral:SRP_RNA from 1 species
GCCUGGCGUGGUGAUGCACGUCUGCAGUCCCAGCUACUUGGGAGGCUGAGGCAGGAGAAUUGCUUGAGUCCAGGAAGUCGAGGCUGCAGUGAGCCAUGGUCGUGUCACUGCACUCCAGCCUGGGAAACAAAGCAAGAUCCUGUCUCAA